GCCAUGCAUGUCUAAGUAUAAGCAACUAUACUGUGAAACUGCGAAUGGCUCAUUAAAUCAGUUAUCGUUUAUUUGAUAGUACCUUUACCUGGAUAACCGUGGUAAUUCUAGAGCUAAUACAUGCUAAAAACCUCGACUUCGGAAGGGGUGUAUUUAUUAGAUAAAAAACCAAUGCCCUUCGGGGCUCCUUGGUGAAUCAUAAUAACUUAACGAAUCGCAUGGCCUUGCGCCGGCGAUGGUUCAUUCAAAUUUCUGCCCUAUCAACUUUCGAUGGUAAGAUAGAGGCUUACCAUGGUCUUAACGGGUAACGGGGAAUUAGGGUUCUAUUCCGGAGAGGGAGCCUGAGAAACGGCUACCACAUCCAAGGAAGGCAGCAGGCGCGCAAAUUACCCAAUCCCGACACGGGGAGGUAGUGACAAUAAAUACUGAUACGGGGCUCUUUUGGGUCUCGUAAUUGGAAUGAGUACAAUCUAAAUCCCUUAACGAGGAACAAUUGGAGGGCAAGUCUGGUGCCAGCAGCCGCGGUAAUUCCAGCUCCAAUAGCGUAUAUUAAAGUUGUUGCCGUUAAAAAGCUCGUAGUUGAACCUUGGGCCUGGCUGACCUGUCCUCCUAAUCGAGCGCACGGGUUCGGUCGGGCCUUUCCUUCUAGGGAACCCCAUGCCCUUCACUGGGUGUGGUGGGGAACUAG
rnacentral:rRNA from 1 species